rnacentral:rRNA from 1 species
UGGGGAAUAUUGGACAAUGGGCGCAAGCCUGAUCCAGCCAUGCCGCGUGUGUGAAGAAGGCCUUUUGGUUGUAAAGCACUUUAAGCGAGGAGGAGGCUACUUGGAUUAAUACUCUAAGAUAGUGGACGUUACUCGCAGAAUAAGCACCGGCUAACUCUGUGCCAGCAGCCGCGGUAAUACAGAGGGUGCGAGCGUUAAUCGGAUUUACUGGGCGUAAAGCGUGCGUAGGCGGCUUCUUAAGUCGGAUGUGAAAACCCUGAGCUUAACUUAGGAAUUGCAUUCGAUACUGGGAAGCUAGAGUAUGGGAGAGGAUGGUAGAAUUCCAGGUGUAGCGGUGAAAUGCGUAGAGAUCUGGAGGAAUACCGAUGGCGAAGGCAGCCAUCUGGCCUAAUACUGACGCUGAGGUACGAAAGCAUGGGGAGCAAACAGG